rnacentral:rRNA from 1 species
GACGAACGCUGGCGGCGUGCCUAAUACAUGCAAGUAGAACGCACAGUUUAUACCGUAGCUUGCUACACCAUAGACUUUGAGUUGCGAACGGGUGAGUAACGCGUAGGUAACCUGCCUGGUAGCGGGGGAUAACUAUUGGAGACGAUAGCUAAUACCGCAUAAUAUUGAUUAUUGCAUGAUAAUUAAUUGAAAGGUGCAAUUGCACCACUACCAGAUGGACCUGCGUUGUAUUAGCUAGUAGGUGAGGUAACGGCUCACCUAGGCGACGAUACAUAGCCGACCUGAGAGGGUGAUCGGCCACACUGGGACUGAGACACGGCCCAGACUCCUACGGGAGGCAGCAGUAGGGAAUCUUCGGCAAUGGACGAAAGUCUGACCGAGCAACGCCGCGUGAGUGAAGAAGGUUUUCGGAUCGUAAAGCUCUGUUGUAAGAGAAGAACGGGUGUGAGAGUGGAAAGUUCACACUGUGACGGUAUCUUACCAGAAAGGGACGGCUAACUACGUG